UCCAAACUUGUUGACAACUUGGGACAAGCAGUGCGAAGACAACUUGUUGGCAGACUUGCUACGAGACGCGAGACUUUUGCGUGUGUAGUACACACGUAAAAGUCUCACAUCUUGUAGCAAGUCUGUCAACAAGCUGUCGACAAGUUGUCUUCGCACUGCUUGUCCCAAGUUGUCAACAAGUUUGGAACAAACUGUUAACAACUUGUAACCUUGUUUAUAUUAUCAGACUUGUUUGCAAGGUUGUUCCACCGAGUCCAAUACAGUCAUGAUAUAACAAUGUUGUUACAACCUUGUGUGGUCAACCUUGUAACAUUCUUGUUAUAUCACGACUGUAUCAGACUUGACAGAACAACCUUGUAACAAGUCUGAUAAUGCCAUCAAGCUUGUUACAAGUUGUUAAUGCCAACAAGCCGUCCACAAGUUGUGUUCGUACUGCUUUCCCAAGUUGUCAACAAGUUUGGAGCAAGUUUGGAGUUUUGUUAACAACUUUUUUAAAACUUGUUACAACAACUGGGAACAAGUAGUGCAAUACACGUAAAA